UACGGAGGGCGCGAGCGUUGUCCGGAAUCACUGGGCGUAAAGGGCGCGUAGGCGGCCCUGGUAAGUCUGCGGUGAAAGCCCGGGGCUCAACCCCGGGUCGGCCGCGGGUACUGCCGGGCUGGAGUGCCGUAGGGGCAGGCGGAAUUCCGGGUGUAGCGGUGGAAUGCGUAGAUAUCGGAAGGAACACCGGUGGCGAAAGCGGCGCGCUGGAUCCCUACUGACGCUGAGGCACGAAAGCCAGGGGAGCAAACGGG
rnacentral:rRNA from 1 species